rnacentral:rRNA from 1 species
GAUGAACGCUGGCGGCGUGCCUAAUACAUGCAAGUCGAGCGAACAGACGAGGAGCUUGCUCCUCUGACGUUAGCGGCGGACGGGUGAGUAACACGUGUAUAACCUACCUAUAAGACUGGGAUAACUUCGGGAAACCGGAGCUAAUACCGGAUAAUAUAUUGAACCGCAUGGUUCAAUAGUGAAAGACGGUUUUGCUGUCACUUAUAGAUGGAUCCGCGCCGCAUUAGCUAGUUGGUAGGGUAACGGCUUACCAAGGCAACGAUGCGUAGCCGACCUGAGAGGGUGAUCGGCCACACUAGAACUGAGACACGGUCCAGAGUCCUACGGGAGGCAGCAGUAGGGAAUGUGCCGCAAUAGGCGAAAGCAUGACGGAGCGACGCGGAGUGAGAGAUGAAGGUCUUCGGAUCGUAAUACUCUGUUAUUAGGGAAGAACAAAUGUGUAAGUAACUAUGCACGUCUUGACGGUAACUAGUCAGAAAGCAACGGCUAACUACGUG